AAAUAAAUUUUAGACACAAUAAACCACGGCUCUGAUACCACUGUAGGAUUGCGUAUAGAUGUUCGUAACACGCAGCGGAAGACAAUAACAAUCCUAGGUAGAUUUUUCAUGUUUAAAAUCUAUUUACGUGUCAAAGAUCGGAUCUAAGACGUACCUGGUGAAGAGAGUUUCUUUUUCAGAAUUUCUUCGAUAGUGCGAAGAUUCUCGGAUCUAAGACGUACCUGGUGAAGAGAGUUUCUUUUCAAAAUUUCUUCGAUAGUGCGAAGACUCUACGCGUAUCCACACCGAGACCGAUCCUUGCUAUCAACUUUUGAUCAAUGAAACCCGCGAACAAAUUGAAUAAAAUUGUGUGCUGAAAAUCUUCUAAAAAUUUUCAGCCAAGAAGAAAACUUAUUUUCUUGCCAAGACACUUUUGGAUUGCUGCGACUCAGUAACUUCCGUCCCUUUUCCGUAUGUUUUUGUGUUUAAUGAUAUGUGUAUAUAUAUACACGAACUUGUAUCAUUGUCCCAAUAGAACAAGGGAAAAUUGGAGACGUGGUUUUUUCCUUCUCAAAUUCCUUUUGUUUGGAAAAAUCCAAUUCCAUUCUAAAUGG
rnacentral:lncRNA from 1 species